rnacentral:rRNA from 1 species
GGAGGACCGAACCGACUACCUUUGAAAAGUUAGCGGAUGACCUGUGGAUCGGAGUGAAAGGCUAAUCAAGCUCGGAGAUAGCUGGUUCUCCUCGAAAGCUAUUUAGGUAGCGCCUCAUGUAUCACUGUAGGGGGUAGAGCACUGUUUCGGCUAGGGGGUCAUCCCGACUUACCAAACCGAUGCAAACUCCGAAUACCUACAAGUGCCGAGCAUGGGAGACACACGGCGGGUGCUAACGUCCGUCGUGAAAAGGGAAACAACCCAGACCGUCAGCUAAGGUCCCAAAGUUAUGGUUAAGUGGGAAACGAUGUGGGAAGGCAUAGACAGCUAGGAGGUUGGCUUAGAAGCAGCCAUCCUUUAAAGAAAGCGUAAUAGCUCACUAGUCGAGUCGGCCUGCGCGGAAGAUGUAACGGGGCUCAAACCAGGUACCGAAGCUACGGGUAUCACUUAGGUGAUGCGGUAGAGGAGCGUUCUGUAAGCCUGUGAAGGUGAGUUGAGAAGCUUGCUGGAGGUAUCAGAAGUGCGAAUGCUGACAUGAGUAACGACAAUGCGAGUGAAAAACUCGCACGCUGAAAGACCAAGGGUUCCAGUCCAACGUUAAUCGGGGCUGGGUGAGUCGACCCCUAAGGCGAGGCCGAAAGGCGUAGUCGAUGGGAACGGGGCAAAUAUUCCCCGGCCAG